UUGCGAGGUAUUGCGCUGGUGGGAAGUGAACUGCAGUGGGGUUGGCAUCAGCUUGUGUACCUUCUAGAUUACCAGGACAAAAGAUAGUGCCAACUUAUGAAGCUUCAUCUUACCUAGUUGCAGUUAACUAGGCACUCUAAGAAGAGAAAUAUGCUUCCCGGAGAGGGAUUCUCCCUAUGCUUCAAGCCGAAAAGGAUGAAAGAUUCGCCAGCCAAUGAAAAAAGUAUUUAGACUAGAGGAAGAAGCGAGAAUCAUGACGGAUGUUCCAGGAUGGAAAGUCGGUGAAAGCGUUUAACACUAUCCUGAUGUCUGGAUUGCCUACAUCGAGUUGCUCUAUUUCAUCAGAAAGGGUGGAGAACAAAGCAACUUCAAGGUUUGUAAGUUCCAUGUAUUCAAGUUUUGUAGGCAGUUAGUAAGUUUGUAUCUGUUCCUUUAGA